UGCUUUCCAUUGAUACACGGAGGAAUUCAUGUCCUUGUCUCACCAGGGCUCAGGCCCUUGUCUAGUCGCCUCUACUUCAUUCCUCCAUACCUCUGUAAUUGUCUCUAUUCCUACACAAAAAUCUCACAAAUCCUCAUUCUCUAACGCUGCCCUCUUAGGUACCUCUCCGCCCUUAUCAAUGACCACCUUGUCUUGAAUUCUUAAAAUGCAGCUCACCCCUUCCAAACAGACCGAAUAUGAACCUAGAUACCCUCCAGCACAAACCAAAGGCAGACAGCAACAUUGAGAGAGAUUCCAGGUCAGCCAGACGACGGAAAAAAAGUUGGGGCCCUUGCUUUCAUUCGCAUAGCUCCAGUUUACAUCAAGCAGGCAAAAGGGCAUGCAAUCUCGUUCACUUAAGAGUGCAGACCUCCCAUCAUUACAAAAAAUGAAAAUUGAGGAACUCAAAUUGGACCGCAUUCCAAUCUAGGAUAUCUGGUCGGCAUGGACAAGUUGGACUUAAUGGUCUGUUUCUACGCUGUACGACUCUUUGACUCUAUGGUGGGUCAUCGCACCAAACAGGAUUCCCACUUUUGUUUGUUAUCUCAAGACUGGAGGUUGUUGUUUGUGUUGCUGGGUGAAAUAAUAAAAGGCUUGUCUAUCG